AAGUUCUAUGCUAAGAUUGUAUCCUUGAUGAAUGAUUUUCUAUUUUUUUUUUCCUAGAUAGGACUUCCACAUGAUGGACAAUAAACAAGAGAUAGGCCAGGCAUGGUGGCUCAUGCCUGUAAUCUCAGCACUUUGGGAGGCCAAGCCAUGUGGAGAAGCAAGUCUGCGGCUCUCUAGCAAUCCUGGAUUUUAUGGAUAUUAUCUCUCCCAUCUCAGAGGGUUUCAAGGCCCAUAAACCUGCUCCUCCCGCAGCUUGCAGUUCCGGGGUGGAUGAACCGCUCUGUGUCCCAGCCCACUCUCCGCUGUUGAGGAUCGGCAUCCCGGGAUCUUUGGUUACGGAGGGUACAGGUCUGCCCUAUCCUGCUGAGCCCAGCACAUUUCUUUCCUUCUUCCCUGCGCCCCCGUUCCUUGGCCACAGGGUAGAGGUGAGCUCAUGCCCCUGCCUCUCCAUUCUCUCCACCUCCAUUCUGGCAUGUUGGCCCCACUGUUCUCAGACUGGAGUGCUCGGGCAAUUUGCUUUUUGUUUGGGGGGGCUGUCCAGCUGUAACCCCUUCCCUGGACUGGGCUGCUCCACACUUGGGGUCCAGCCAAGGUCCAGGAAGGGGAGGAGGUUUGGGGAUGGAGACUGUGGACCCCACCUCCUCCUGGGAAUGGGCACCUGGAUGGCAGCUUUAUGGCCAUGUGAAAGCAGAGCAGACAUCACUCAUUCCAUCCUCAUUCAUUCACCCACAACAAGUGAUGCAGAUACCCAAGAUGACUAAGAAACGGCCCCUGCUUUCAAAAAGCUCAGUCUAGUCCCAUGAUGUCCUUGAGCGCACCCCCUCAAAAAAGUUGUAUCAAGCAGUGGGUAAGGGGAAGUGACCUCCGAGAAGGAUAUAACAGUGGAAAUUACCUAUCUUAACGAUACAUUUAAAUUCAGCUUUGUAAAAGAGUUUUAUAGAGUGGGAAAAAGAAUCAGAAUCGAGUAAAUUUGAGAGAUGAAGCCAAGUGUGCUUCUAGAAAAGUCUGUUUGCAUUUCAAAGGUUUCUCUCCUUUCCACAGUGGCUCAUACCUAUACUCUCAGUGAUUUGGGAGGUCAAGGCCGGGAG